rnacentral:misc_RNA from 1 species
UAACUAAUUUAUACUUUUCAAAAUGUUUACGCAUAUCUUGGCAAUUACAGUAUUUAUUUUUAAUCACAACUUUGAUAAUCUUUAGUUUUUUUUCAGUAAUUAUUUUUAAUUACAACUUUGAUAACAUUUAGUUACAUCUUCAGCACCUACUAUAACUAUUCCAUGUGUUCAACCUUCUGCUGUUGAAUCUACACAGCCUAUCACAGCUACAUUUACGUGUUCAACGAAUGUUCCUUCUACAUCUGCUAUUUGUGUUACAUCUUCUGCGAC